rnacentral:rRNA from 1 species
CUUAGUUGCCAUCAUUCAGUUGGGCACUCUAAGGAAACUGCCCGUGAUAAGCGGGAGGAAGGUGGGGAUGACGUCAAGUCCUCAUGGCCCUUACGGGUUGGGCUACACACGUGCUACAAUGGCAUUUACAAUGGGUUAAUCCCCAAAAAAUGUCUCAAUUCGGAUUGGGGUCUGCAACUCGACCCCAUG